CCUUAACCUUACUUGGUCUAGUAAAAUUCAGUUUGUAUACCACUAUAAAAAUAAUAAUUUACUUUUAUUAUUAAAAUUCUUUUUUAGAUAAAAAUUAAGUCAAGGUGCAGCUUAAGGCUAAGAAUGAAGUGAAUUACAUUUCUUAAAAGAAAAGAAAAGUGAAACAAAAUAUUAGGAUUUGAUAGUAAAAUUAAAAUAAAAAGUUAAUUUGAAUUAAGCUCUAAGAUAU
rnacentral:rRNA from 1 species